rnacentral:rRNA from 1 species
UACGGAGGGAGCUAGCGUUGUUCGGAAUUACUGGGCGUAAAGCGCGCGUAGGCGGCUUUGUAAGUUAGAGGUGAAAGCCCGGAGCUCAACUCCGGAACUGCCUUUAAAACUGCAUCGCUUGAAUCCAGGAGAGGUGAGUGGAAUUCCGAGUGUAGAGGUGAAAUUCGUAGAUAUUCGCAAGAACACCAGUGGCGAAGGCGGCUCACUGGCCCGAUACUGACGCUGAGGUGCGAAAGCGUGGGGAGCAAACAGG